rnacentral:rRNA from 1 species
AUAAUACGUGGCGAACGGCUCAGUAACACGUAGUCAACAUGCCCAAAGGACGUGGAUAACCUCGGGAAACUGAGGAUAAACCGCGAUAGGUCAUAAGUACUGGAAUGUUUUAUGGCUCAAAUCUACAUGGCCUCUGGAUUGGACUGCGGCCGAUCAGGCUGUUGGUGAGGUAAUGGCCCACCAAACCUUUUACCGGUACGGGCUCUGAGAGGAGGAGCCCGGAGAUGGGCACUGAGACAAGGGCCCAGGCCCUAUGGGGCGCAGCAGGCGCGAAACCUCUGCAAUAGGCGAAAGCUUGACAGGGUUACUCUGAGUGAUUCCCGCUAAGGGAAUCUUUUGGCAUCUCUAAAAACGAUGCAGAAUAAGGGGUGGGCAAGUCUGGUGUCAGCCGCCGCGGUAAUACCAGCACCCCGAGUGGUCGGGACGAUUAUUGGGCCUAAAGCAUCCGUAACCGGUCUUGCAAGUCUUCCGUUAAAUCCACCUGCUUAACAGAUGGGCUGCGGAAGAUACUACAAGACUAGGAGGCGGGAGAGGCAAGCGGUACUCAGUGGGUAGGGGUAAAAUCCUCUGAUCCAUUGAAGACCACCAGUGGCGAAGGCGGCUUGCCAGAACGCGCUCGACGGUGAGGGAUGAAAGCUGGGGGAGCAAACCGGAUUAGAUACCCGGGUAGUCCCAGCUGUAAACGAUGCAGACUCGGUGAUGGGCCGGCUUCAUGCCGGCUCAGUGCCGCAGGGAAGCCGUUAAGUCUGCCGCCUGGGGAGUACGGUCGCAAGACUGAAACUUAAAGGAAUUGGCGGGGGAGCACCACAAGGGGUGAAGCCUGCGGUUCAAUUGGAUUCAACGCCGGG